rnacentral:rRNA from 1 species
GACGAACGCUGGCGGCGUGCUUAACACAUGCAAGUCGAACGAAGAGCGAUGGAAGCUUGCUUCUAUCAAUCUUAGUGGCGAACGGGUGAGUAACGCGUAAUCAACCUGCCCUUCAGAGGGGGACAACAGUUGGAAACGACUGCUAAUACCGCAUACGAUCUAAUCUCGGCAUCGAGGAUAGAUGAAAGGUGGCCUCUACAUGUAAGCUAUCACUGAAGGAGGGGAUUGCGUCUGAUUAGCUAGUUGGAGGGGUAACGGCCCACCAAGGCGAUGAUCAGUAGCCGGUCUGAGAGGAUGAACGGCCACAUUGGGACUGAGACACGGCCCAGACCCCUACGGGAGGCAGCAGUGGGGAAUCUUCCGCAAUGGACGAAAGUCUGACGGAGCAACGCCGCGUGAGUGAUGACGGCCUUCGGGUUGUAAAGCUCUGUUAAUCGGGACGAAAGGCCUUCUUGCGAAUAGUGAGAAGGAUUGACGGUACCGGAAUAGAAAGCCACGGCUAACUACGU